AUGCAGUGAGUACAGUGCAAAUAAAAGUGUGGCACAAAUGCUUCAAAGAUGGUUGAGAAUCUCUUGAAAGUGAUCCACAUGCUGGAAGGCCUGCAACAAGCAGAACACCUGAGAAUGCUGGACGUGUAACGGGCUGCAAUCAGCAAAGAUCAGCUACUGACAGUGCAAAAACUGGAAGCUGAUCUGGGAACUCCAGAAGGUACUGGGCCUGAGAUUUUGACAUGGGAUCUUGGCAUGAAAUGUGUUGUGGCUAAAUUUAUUCUGCGGCUUCUGCUAACAGAGCAGAAAGAACAUUGUGCUGCAGUUGCUAAUGACUAGAUUGAAACCACUACCAAUGAAUCAGAUUUCCAUAAGAGGGUCAUAACCAGAGAUGAAUUCUGGGUCUAUGGCUAUGCAUAUGAUCCAGAUAUGAAGGCCCAGUUGUCCCAGUGAAAGUCUCCUGGUUCUCCAUACCCAAAGAAAGCACAGCAAAGUCGCAGCAAGAUCAAGACCACGUAGACUGGG